rnacentral:rRNA from 1 species
AGAGUUUGAUCCUGGCUCAGGACGAACGCUGGCGGCGCGCCUAACACAUGCAAGUCGAACGGAGCUUAGAGAGCUUGCUUUUUAAGCUUAGUGGCGAACGGGUGAGUAACGCGUGAGUAACCUGCCCUAGAGUGGGGGACAACAGUUGGAAACGACUGCUAAUACCGCAUAAGCCCACGGUACCGCAUGGUACUGAGGGAAAAGGAUUUAUUCGCUUUAGGAUGGACUCGCGUCCAAUUAGCUAGUUGGUGAGGUAACGGCCCACCAAGGCGACGAUUGGUAGCCGGACUGAGAGGUUGAACGGCCACAUUGGGACUGAGACACGGCCCAGACUCCUACGGGAGGCAGCAGUGGGGGAUAUUGCACAAUGGGGGAAACCCUGAUGCAGCGACGCCGCGUGGAGGAAGAAGGUCUUCGGAUUGUAAACUCCUGUUGUUGAGGAAGAUAAUGACGGUACUCAACAAGGAAGUGACGGCUAACUACGUGCCAGCAGCCGCGGUAAAACGUAGGUCACAAGCGUUGUCCGGAAUUACUGGGUGUAAAGGGAGCGCAGGCGGGAAGACAAGUUGGAAGUGAAAUCCAUGGGCUCAACCCAUGAACUGCUUUCAAAACUGUUUUUCUUGAGUAGUGCAGAGGUAGGCGGAAUUCCCGGUGUAGCGGUGGAAUGCGUAGAUAUCGGGAGGAACACCAGUGGCGAAGGCGGCCUACUGGGCACCAACUGACGCUGAGGCUCGAAAGUGUGGGUAGCAAACAGGAUUAGAUACCCUGGUAGUCCACACCGUAAACGAUGAUUACUAGGU